rnacentral:rRNA from 1 species
CCUAACACAUGCAAGUCGAACGGUAACAGGAAGAAGCUUGCUUCUUUGCUGACGAGUGGCGGACGGGUGAGUAAUGUCUGGGAAACUGCCUGAUGGAGGGGGAUAACUACUGGAAACGGUAGCUAAUACCGCAUAACGUCGCAAGACCAAAGAGGGGGACCUUCGGGCCUCUUGCCAUCGGAUGUGCCCAGAUGGGAUUAGCUAGUAGGUGGGGUAACGGCUCACCUAGGCGACGAUCCCUAGCUGGUCUGAGAGGAUGACCAGCCACACUGGAACUGAGACACGGUCCAGACUCCUACGGGAGGCAGCAGUGGGGAAUAUUGCACAAUGGGCGCAAGCCUGAUGCAGCCAUGCCGCGUGUAUGAAGAAGGCCUUCGGGUUGUAAAGUACUUUCAGCGGGGAGGAAGGGAGUAAAGUUAAUACCUUUGCUCAUUGACGUUACCCGCAGAAGAAGCACCGGCUAACUCCGUGCCAGCAGCCGCGGUAAUACGGAGGGUGCAAGCGUUAAUCGGAAUUACUGGGCGUAAAGCGCACGCAGGCGGUUUGUUAAGUCAGAUGUGAAAUCCCCGGGCUCAACCUGGGAACUGCAUCUGAUACUGGCAAGCUUGAGUCUCGUAGAGGGGGGUAGAAUUCCAGGUGUAGCGGUGAAAUGCGUAGAGAUCUGGAGGAAUACCGGUGGCGAAGGCGGCCCCCUGGACGAAGACUGACGCUCAGGUGCGAAAGCGUG